rnacentral:lncRNA from 1 species
AAACAAGAGAAAAAGACCAACAACUGAGCCUUGGGGCGCUCUGAUUUAGAGAUGUGAGAAAUCUGGAACCUGUAAAGGAGACUGAGAAGGAGCUACUAGGAGGGAGACUCCUCCAUCAGUCUGGCAUUAUUUUGAGAGUGUUCAUCUUUUUAUUGUAUGGGAAGUCAGCUGCCAUGUUGCAAUUUGCCCUCUGGAGAGACCCACUUCAUAAGGAAGGGAAGAAGGACUCUGGCCAAGAGUCAGUGAGAAAUUGAAUAUCCCAAUCCAUCAACCUGCAAGGAACUGAUCCUGCCAAAAAGCACACAACUUAGUUUGCCAGCAGAUCCCCCUCAAGUUGAGGCUUCAGAUGAUACUACAUACUUGGCCGACAGCUUGAUUGCAAACUCAGGACAUAUCUUGAAGCAAAGGCAGUCAAUUGAGCUGAACUUGUGUCUUGGAUUUAAAAAAAAAAUGAAAAAAUAUUUUUUAAACCCGCUAAUAUUUUGGGUAAUUUAUCAUAGAGCAAUAGAUAACUCAUCCAUCAGCAAAAUAAACAAACAAAUAAAUAACAAUACAAAGAAUGUCACAUAAUGAUAAAGGGAUCAAUUCACUAAAAUUAUAUAGUAAUUUUAAAUAUAUAUGUACCUAAACAUCAAGCUGUGGGAUAUUU